AAAAACAUGUCCUCUGGAUUAUUUAUAUGAGGUUUAACCUGCUCAAUGAUAUAAUUAAAUAGCCGCGGUAUUUUAACUGUGCUAAGGUAGCAUAAUAAUUUGUCUUUUAAUUGGGGGCUGGAAUGAAGGGUUGGACGAAUCUCUUACUUUCUUUAAUUUAAUUUUUUAGAAUUUUAUUUUUUAGUUAAAAAGCUAAGAUUUUAUUAUAGGACGAGAAGACCCUGUAGAUCUUAAUCAGUAUAUUAAUUUUAUAGUGUAGAUUAUUUAUUUAUAAGGAUAAAUAUCUUGAUUUAAUUGGGGUGAUUGUAAAAUUUUAAUAACUUUUAUUAAAUUAUUCAUUAAUUUAUGUAUAUUUGAUCCAUUUUUAAUGAUUAUAAGAUUAAGAUACCUCAGGGAUAACAGCGUAAUUUUUUUGGAGAGCUCUUAUCGAUAAAGAAGUUUGCGACCUCGAUGUUGGAUUAAAAUAAGUUCUGGGCGUAGCCGUUCAGAGUCUUGGUCUGUUCGACCUUUAAAUUUUUACAUGAUCUGAGUUCA
rnacentral:rRNA from 1 species